rnacentral:lncRNA from 1 species
ACCUGCGUGCAAUGUGCGGGGGCAAAACUAGUAGUACUAUAUUAUUAGUGCCUUCAUUUUCAAAGAAAAAGAAAUAUGAUAUUAUAGUUUUUGUUUAGUGGGGAUGGUAAUGAAUAGGGUAUGGAUCAAAUCGAUCAAAAUUUAUACCUAUCUCAUAAUUACAAUCCUCAAACCUAUACUUUUGCUGAAUUGGGGUUGAA